rnacentral:sRNA from 1 species
CAGUCGUCCUGUCCUGGCCGCUCGCUCUGCUUCGCUGCGCCGCCACUAUGCUCUCCGUCCGUGUCCCGCUCGCGCCCAUCACGGACCCGAAGCAGCUGCAGCUCUCGCCGCUGAAGGGGCUCAGCUUGGUCGACAAGGAGAACACGCCGCCGGCCCUGAGCGGGACCCGCGUCCUGGCCAGCAAGACCGCGAGGAGGAUCUUCCAGGAGCCCGCGGAGCCGAAAACUAAAGCAGCUGCCCCCGACGUGGAGGAUGAGCCGCUGCUGAGAGAAAACCCCCGCCGCUUUGUCAUCUUCCCCAUCGAGUACCAUGAUAUCUGGCAGAUGUAUAAGAAGGCAGAGGCUUCCUUCUGGACCGCCGAGGAGGUGGACCUCUCCAAGGACAUUCAGCACUGGGAAUCCCUGAAGCCCGAGGAGAGAUAUUUUAUAUCCCAUGUUCUGGCUUUCUUUGCAGCAAGCGAUGGCAUAGUAAAUGAAAACUUGGUGGAGCGAUUUAGCCAAGAAGUUCAGAUUACAGAAGCCCGCUGUUUCUAUGGCUUCCAAAUUGCCAUGGAAAACAUACAUUCUGAAAUGUAUAGUCUUCUUAUUGACACUUACAUAAAAGAUCCCAAAGAAAGGUGAGUAUUCAAGUGGUAUGCAAGAUU